rnacentral:rRNA from 1 species
CAGCAGCCGCGGUAGUACGAAGGGUGCAAGCGUUACUCGGAAUUACUGGGCGUAAAGCGUGCGUAGGUGGUGGUUUAAGUCCGUUGUGAAAGCCCUGGGCUCAACCUGGGAAUUGCAGUGGAUACUGGGUCUCUAGAGUGUGGUAGAGGAUAGUGGAAUUUCCGGUGUAGCAGUGAAAUGCGUAGAGAUCGGAAGGAACAUCUGUGGCGAAGGCGACUAUCUGGGCCAACACUGACACUGAGGCACGAAAGCGUGGGGAGCAAACAGGAUUAGAGACCCCUGUAGUCCCUGUCUCUUAUAC